rnacentral:rRNA from 1 species
AUUGAACGCUGGCGGCAGGCCUAACACAUGCAAGUCGAGCGGAUCGGCGGACGGGUGAGUAAUGCCUAGGAAUCUGCCUGGUAGUGGGGGAUAACGUCCGGAAACGGGCGCUAUUACCGCAUCCUAUCAGCUGAGCCUGGGUCGGUUUGGCUAGUGGGUGGGGUAAGGGCCUACCAAGGCGACGAUCCGUAGCUGGUCUGAGAGGAUGAUCAGUCACACUGGAACUGAGACACGGUCCAGACUCCUACGGGAGGCAGCAGUGGGGAAUAUUGGACAAUGGGCGAAAGCCUGAUCCAGCCAUGCCGCGUGUGUGAAGAAGGUCUUCGGAUUGUAAAGCACUUUAAGUGGGGAGGCGUUACCCGCAGAAGAAGCACCGGCUAACUCCGUGCCAGCAGCCGCGGUAAUAC